rnacentral:rRNA from 1 species
UACGAAGGGGGCUAGCGUUGCUCGGAAUCACUGGGCGUAAAGGGUGCGUAGGCGGGUCUUUAAGUCAGGGGUGAAAUCCUGGAGCUCAACUCCAGAACUGCCUUUGAUACUGAAGAUCUUGAGUUCGGGAGAGGUGAGUGGAACUGCGAGUGUAGAGGUGAAAUUCGUAGAUAUUCGCAAGAACACCAGUGGCGAAGGCGGCUCACUGGCCCGAUACUGACGCUGAGGAGCGAAAGCGUGGGGAGCGAACAGG